GAAUAAUUGCCACCACUCUCUCCAAGUUGCAGUCAUUGGGAUUCUUGUAGUCAGACCUCCCUGGAGCACCCAAACAGAGUGGCUGGCAACCAAGCAGAACCGUGCAGUGAACAACACCUUUGAUCCCGGCCAUAUGGAGCUCCUCCAAGCAUUCCUCGGAUAGAGAAAUCCGUCACCUCGAUGCAGGGUGUAAAGUCCUGGUUUAAUGGCAACAGACUCUAUUGUGCUGCUACUAAUGACCACAAGAUAACAGUACUCAUCAAGGUCCAAGUCUAAUUCUUGACAUCAAGCUUUAAAUGUGUUUUCUGAAGUAUGGCUUGUAGUGAUUGCAUGUGGAGAUCUGUGCAUGACUAAAUGUUUAAAAUAAUAAAGAAAUCAAUCAAUGACAUAAAUUCAAAAUAGCUGACAAAACAUAAUAUCUACCUGUUUCUAUUCUAAGAGACCAAGACAGUUAAAAAAAUUGUCCUUGUUAC
ensembl:lncRNA